rnacentral:rRNA from 1 species
GAUGAACGCUGGCGGCGUGCCUAAUACAUGCAAGUCGAGCGAACAGAUAAGGAGCUUGCUCCUUUGACGUUAGCGGCGGACGGGUGAGUAACACGUGGGUAACCUACCUAUAAGACUGGGAUAACUUCGGGAAACCGGAGCUAAUACCGGAUAAUAUUUCGAACCGCAUGGUUCGAUAGUGAAAGAUGGUUUUGCUAUCACUUAUAGAUGGACCCGCGCCGUAUUAGCUAGUUGGUAAGGUAACGGCUUACCAAGGCGACGAUACGUAGCCGACCUGAGAGGGUGAUCGGCCACACGGGAACUGAGACACGGUCAAGACUCCUACGGGAGGCAGCAGUAGGGAAUCUUACGCAAUGGGCGAAAGCCUGACGGAGAAACGCCGCGUGAGUGAUGAAGGUCUUCGGAUCGUAAAACUCUGUUAUUAGGGAAGAACAUACGUGUAAGUAACUGUGCACGUCUUGACGGUACCUAAUCAGAAAGCCACGGCUAACUACGUG